rnacentral:rRNA from 1 species
GAUGAACGCUAGCUACAGGCUUAACACAUGCAAGUCGAGCGGUAUGUGCUUUAGUGCAUACAGCGGCAGACGGGUGAGUAACACGUAUCUAACCUUCCCCUUACUUGGGCAUAGCCUCUGGAAACGGAGAUUAAUUUCCGAUGUGGUGUACAUUUCGCAUGUUUUGCGCACCAAAGAUUUAUCGGUAAGGGAUGGGGAUGCGCUCCAUUAGGUUGUAGGUAGGGUAAUGGCCUACCUAGCCUAUGAUGGAUAGGGGUUCUGAGAGGAAGGUCCCCCACAUUGGAACUGCGACACGGUCCAAACUCCUACGGGAGGCAGCAGUGAGGAAUAUUGGUCAAUGGCCGGAAGGCUGAACCAGCCAAGUAGCGUGCAGGAUGACUGCCUUAUGGGUUGUAAACUGCUUUUUUACGGGAAUAAUUAUGAUCACGUGUGAUUAUUUGCAUGUACCGUAAGAAUAAGGAUCGGCUAACUCCGUGCCAGCAGCCGCGGUAAUACGGAGGAUCCUAGUGUUAUCCGGAUUUAUUGGGUUUAAAGGGAGCGUAGGCGGGAGGUCAAGUCAGCUGUGAAAUGUAUCUGCUUAACGGGUACACUGCAGUUGAAACUGGUUUUCUUGAGUGCAUAAGAGGCAGGCGGAAUUCGUUGUGUAGCGGUGAAAUGCUUAGAUAUGACGAGGAACUCCUAUUGCGAAGGCAGCUUGCUGGGUCGUUACUGACGCUGAUGCUCGAAGGUGCGGGGAUCAAACAGG